GAAGAGAGAGUUCAAGAGUACGUGAAACCAUUAGAAGCUCAAACGGGUGGAACCGUGAAGGUCGAAAGAGGGGAUUCAGCCUGCAGGACAUGGGCUCUGACCGCGGUUCAAGUUGCAUUUCAGUGAGAGGACCCCGCCAUGAAGUUUGUGGUUUGGGGCUGCGCGGCCGGGCCAGCCGCGUGCUGCGGGCUUAUUUCUACCUCGAGUAGAGAGUGUCGCGACCCGCUGGCCGGGCUCCCAGGGCCGUGCGGGACUGGUAACCGCGCGGGUGAUGACCCGCUACGGUGUUGACCGGGCUUGGGCGGCGGUGACUGCAAGGAGGCCGCGGAGAGAAGAAUGCGGCCUCUCGCGACGUGAGAGGGAUUGGUAAUCCACCCGACCCGUCUUGAAACACGGACCAAGGAGUCCAACAUGUGCGCGAGUCUAAGGGUUGUCUAAACCCGGAGGCGAAAUGAAAGCGAGUUCUGUUUGGGCAGGCCGAUCCCCUGCUGGUCGGGGCCUGCUGGGCCAGCUAGGUUGAGAGAAUAUCCUGGGCUGGUGCCGGCGGUGCCUGGGCUGGCGGCCCUGAGGUCUGGCAACAGGCCUUUGGGAGUUGGGGCGCAGGCCGAGGACUUGGCUUUGUGCGGCCCGGGAAACGGGUGGCUGCUCCCUCGGGGGUGGUUGCCUGGACCCGUGGUCCGCGGCCAAGUACCUGAGAGCGCAGCCGUUGGGACCCGAAAGAUGGUGAACUAUGCCUGGCGAGGACGAAGCCAGAGGAAACUCUGGUGGAGGUCCGAAGCAGUUCUGACGUGCAAAUCGAUUGUCAGAGCUGGGUAUAGGGGCGAGAGACUAAUCGAACCAUCUAGUAGCUGGUUCCCUCCGAAGUUUCCCUCAGGAUAGCUGGCAUUCGGAGUUGUGAGUUUCAUCCGGUAAAGCGAAUGAUUAGAGGCCUUGGUGGUGCAAUGCCGUCAACCUAUUCUCAAACUUUAAAUGGGUGAGACGUGGAGCUUGCUUGAGAGAGACGUGAAGCUCUAUGAUGCAAAGAAUCAGAGUGCCUAGUGGGCCACUUUUGGUAAGCAGAACUGGCGCUG
rnacentral:rRNA from 1 species